rnacentral:siRNA from 1 species
GGAUUGUUGUGUUCUUUGGUUGC